ACAAAAUGUAGCUUAACUAAAGCACCUCGCUUACACCGAGAACAUGUCUGUUAAAUUCGGACCAUUUUGA
rnacentral:tRNA from 1 species